AUACAGACCACACAUGAUUUGCCCGUGACUGACACUAACUUGUUUAACAGCAGGUUGGCUUUAGGUGACUAAAUCAAUUUGGCUGCCCGGUUAGUGCAGUGCUUGCAGGACCUUUCCACAAACGCCUGCAACACAUUUGGGGACCUAGACACAGGACGCUGUUGGUGCACAGAUUUGUUCGCUUGCUGACAACUAAGGUUUGUGGUAUGUGUCGCAAGUCGGUCUGCUCUUAACUACGCUAAUAACGAUAACCAAUGCAUCUGCCUGGUUAUACUUCACCACUGGUACACUGCAGACAGAAUGUGUGUAUGACAUCAAUAGCGUUUAACAGCUUAUGCGACGACAUUGGCAAGUUUGUCAUUGAAAUUUGUAAAUAUUGGCUGCUUUCAGGGAAAACGGGGCUUAAUGCAUGUCAAAUGAGUGGUGUCCCAGAUUAGACUUUGCACACUGAUUAGCCUGUACAAUGCGCACAAGCUAAUCAAGGACGACACUUUCUGAUUGUAUGGGGAUUUUCGUUUAAAGAAAGUCUCUUGUACUGGGAUGACAAUAAUUGUAUAUGCAUUAAGCCUUGUUUUGCCAAAAUGAAGAUUAAAUUAUCUUUAUAUUUAUAAUUGGAAAAAAGAUAAAAGUGAUAAUAACUUCAAAGUAACCUCCCGACCUAGGGUUUUACGUGCUCGUCCCCCUGUUGUGCCGUGAGGCAGAAACAGUUGAUCUGACAAUCCGCCUAGUGUCGGAACACGCCCUGACUCGGGUAAGCCGGAAAAUAUUCAAAGAAGUGCACGGGCGACUUUUCGAGAUCUGGGAGAAGUACGAAGACGAUGACAUGACAACUUCUCAACUUUUUCAGCACAUGUCCGAGAAAUUGGACGAGCUGGAAGAACGGGCACAGAUGCACAGGCCAUACUGUACUUCAACCAAGGAGACUUGGUGUCAACAGCAAUGAGGAAAGACAUAAAAGAAUAUUGUUUACAAAAUUAAAUGAGCAAACGUGUAAUAAUAAAUUCUUUCUUCGGAUUCCACACAACGGUUAAACCAUUUGUACGUUGCAGCGUUUGUAAUUCUGAUCUGGAAUUGGAACGGCAGUUUGGAAAUCUAAGAGUUGUUUGAACAAUGUACUGCAGUUCUCUACUGACUGGAUACGCUUAAGUGUGCCCAAUAGGAUAUAUUUUGUAAAUAAACAACAAAAGAAGAAUUCUUAAUUAUGAUUAUUUGGUAAAGAUGCUGUUAUUUUAUAUUGUGAAUUAAAUAAUUUCAUCCUUAAAUAUUGACUUUGACUUACCGGUCCUGGGGGCCGUUUCAUCAAACAUCAUGUGACAGAUUUAGAAUAUAAUGCAUAUUUCUAAUAAACAUUAAUAACGAUGCUGCGAAGCAGCUCGUCUAAGUUAUCAUACCAUGAAAAAAAAAUGGCGACCUAUGCAAAAGACCGAGCCAGUCCGAUUGAGAAAGCUCGAUUUUCCUAAUCGGCAUACCUCGCUGAUUAUCAUUGAUAAAGGUAUAGGAAGUUCAGCUAUAAAUAGGACAGCAUAUUCUGGGAAAAAAGAUAUAAUAAUAGUUUAAAAACGUUAAUUUUAAAUCAGUUAUAUUUAAUCCAUUAUAUGUUUAUAGAUCAAUGAAACAACUAUGCAUUUUCUGUAUUGUAUUUGACAUAAGUCGUGAUUCAGUAAAUAAAUUGCGAAUUAAAUUGUGUAUAAUUAAGGUUCAACGCGAUCAUAAGUGUAAAGAAAACGAAUUAUUUCGAACCUGCCAUUUGUAAACGUUGUAGCGAUGGUAUAUAAACAGCAUAAUAGCCGUAUGGCAUCUGUGAAACUCGCUCUUCUGCGUGCUUUCUCAUUGUGCAUAUUUAAUAAACUUUUCAAACAGAAAUUACAGAGCCACAUCAGUGGACAUACUAUGUUUGAUAAUUCAUUCGUUUGUUUGAUAUUGUUUGCUGUUUUAAACACAUAAUAACCUUACAAUGUGUUCAUGUGCGAACUCACGUAUCCAAGUGCUCUUACCACUAUGUGCUCAUACCUACUUUCGGGAAUCAUCAUGAAAUUAUUGCCGUACUUAACAAACAAACAUGCCUAAGCUUAUUAAAUUAGAGAAAAAAACAAUAAUCAAAGGAGAAAUUUUUUAUGUUCAUGCACAUCGGCAUGUGAAAUAUCGUCCGUACACAUAGCAUCAUUAACUUAGGAAAGGAAACAACGAAAUAUUAAGUUUGGUAUGAUAUACAUGUGAAAUUAAAGAGCAUGGUGUAAUUAAAGAGCAUUCCAGUUUCGAAUUUUUAUGCUGAAAAGUAAUGUUAUAACCCACAAACGUUUUACUGUA